CCUACGGGUGGCAGCAGUGAGGAAUAUUGGUCAAUGGCCGGAAGUCUGAUCCAGCCAUGCCGCGUGAAGGUCAGUGCCCUAUGGGCGUUAAACUUCUUUUGUGCGGGAGCAAUAAUGGUCACGUGUGGCCAGACGAGAGUACCGUACGAAUAAGCAUCGGCUAACUCCGUGCAAGCAGCCGCGGUAAUACGGGGGAUGCAAGCGUUAUCCGGGUUAAUUGGGUUUAAAGGGGUCGUAGGCGGGGGGGUACGUCAGCGGGGAAAGGCCCCGGCUCAACGGGGUGAAUUGCCAUGAUACUGCCUUGCUGGAAUGCGGAUGCGGUGGGAGGAAUGUGUGGUGUAGCGGUGAAAUGCAUAGAGAUCACACAGAACACCGAUUGCGAAGGCAUCUCACGAAUCCGCGAUUGACGCUGAUGCACGAAAGCGUGGGUAUCAAACAGGAUUAGAUACCCGGGUAGUC
rnacentral:rRNA from 1 species